GAUAAAUCCCAUAACAACAACUAAACAAGUUUCAAAAUCCAAAACUCGGUAACAUAAUUUUUUUCUCAAAAACAUAAAUAAAAUUCAAAGUACUCUGAUCCAUUUCAUCAUUAAAUCUUAAAACCUUCUUCCACCACCAGCAGCAACACCAGCACCUCUUCCAAACGGCACCUGUUGAACAGGAACAGGAUCAACCUGAACAACCCCGGGAAUCUCGGACAUACCAAGAGCAGCAAGCAUAUCAAGAGUCUCCUUAUCAACCUCAAUAUGGUCAGUCCUGAUAGCAGAAACAUCAGGAACGAAAUCCAUCCUCCUUUCACGCUCUUCCUCUUGUAGCUUCAACGAGAUUCCACGAACUGGUCCCUUUUGAAUACGCUUCAUGAGAUGGGUUGAAAACCCAGCGAUCUUGUUGCGAAGACGCUUUGAUGGGAUCAGUGCAACUUCUUCGAGGAUCUUUUUGUUUGUGUGGAAAUCUAGGGUCAUUUUUGAGUAGUAACGUUCGAUUACUUGGCGUGAGGAUUUUUUCACGGUUUUGGUUCUGACACGACCCAUUUUGGUGAAUGUGUGUGAGAGUGUGUGCGGUGAAGGGAGGAAGAUGAAGACGCAGAGGAAUUAGGGUUUGGUGUUU
rnacentral:lncRNA from 1 species